rnacentral:rRNA from 1 species
UACGGGAGGCAGCAGGGGGAAUAUUGCACAAUGGGCGCAAGCCUGAUGCAGCCAUGCCGCGUGUAUGAAAAAGGCCUUCGGGUUGUAAAGUACUUUCAGUCGUGAGGAAGGUGUUAAGGUUAAUAACCUUAGCAAUUGACGUUAGCGACAGAAGAAGCACCGGCUAACUCCGUGCCAGCAGCCGCGGUAAUACGGAGGGUGCGAGCGUUAAUCGGAAUUACUGGGCGUAAAGGGCACGCAGGCGGUUAAUUAAGUUGGAUGUGAAUCCCCGGGCUUAACCUGGGAAUGGCAUUCAAGACUGGUUAGCUAGAGUCUUGUAGAGGGGGUAGAAUUCCAUGUGUAGCGGUGAAAUGCGUAGAGAUGUGGAGGAAUACCGGUGGCGAAGGCGGCCCCUGGACAAAGACUGACGCUCAUGUGCGAAAGCGUGGGGAGCAAACAGGGAUUAGAUACC